rnacentral:rRNA from 1 species
GGCGUAAAGCGCAUGCAGGUGGCGGUGUUAAGUCAGAUGUGAAAGCCCGGGGCUUUAACCUCGGAAUUGCAU